GUGGGGAAUAUCCUCUCUAAUGUUCUCCUUUUUAAAGAGUACAACAUUUCAAACUUUUACAUGUUCAUCAAUUGCCUCUCUAGAUGGGCCAAUGUCCAGCCACAAUACUAGCCUGUGGGGCUGUCUAGCCUGUUCUAGGGGUCUUCGAUGCGGAGGUGGCCUCCUGCGUCCCCUCAGCGGCCCACUUGGAUUGAUUGCCGAAGUUUCCUUGUAGGCUCAUCGUCUGCCGACAUUGACUACUUGGCCUACCAGACCUUUGGAUUGGAGGCCGACAUUGACUAACUUAUGCAUGCAUUAUGAGUGGCAGAAUGGAGUGAAGCAUAUUCAACGAUGAGAGGAAGGAUGCACAAUUUUCCUGGUGC
rnacentral:lncRNA from 1 species